rnacentral:rRNA from 1 species
UACGGAGGGGGCUAGCGUUGUUCGGAAUUACUGGGCGUAAAGCGCACGUAGGCGGCUUUGCAAGUCAGAGGUGAAAGCCCGGGGCUCAACCCCGGAAUUGCCUUUGAGACUGCAUCGCUAGAAUUGUGGAGAGGUAAGUGGAAUUCCGAGUGUAGAGGUGAAAUUCGUAGAUAUUCGGAAGAACACCAGUGGCGAAGGCGACUUACUGGACAAAUAUUGACGCUGAGGUGCGAAAGCGUGGGGAGCAAACAGG